GAAUCUUCCGCAAUGGACGAAAGUCUGACGGAGCGAUGCCGCGUGAGUGAUGAAGGUCUUCGGAUCGUAAAACUCUGUUGUCAGGGAAGAACAAGUAUCGGAGUAAUAUGCCGGUACCUGACGGUACCUAACCAGAAAGCCCCGGCUAACGACGUGCCAGCCGCCGCGGUAAUACGUAGGGGGCAAGCGUUGUCCGGAAUUAUUGGGCGUAAAGGGCUCGCAGGCGGUUUCUUAAGUCUGAUGUGAAAUAUUGCGGCUCAACCGCAAGAGGUCAUUGGAAACUGGGAGGCUUGAGUAUAUGAGAGGAAAGUGGAAUUCCACGUGUAGCGGUGAAAUGCGUAGAGAUGUGGAGGAACACCAGUGGCGAAGGCGACUUUCUGGCUUAUAACUGACGCUGAGGAGCGAAAGCGUGGGUAGCAAACA
rnacentral:rRNA from 1 species